CCUACGGGGGGCUGCAGUGGGGAAUAUUGGACAAUGGGGGGAACCCUGAUCCAGCCAUGCCGCGUGUGUGAAGAAGGCCCUCGGGUUGUAAAGCACUUUCAGUGAGGAAGAACGCCUGGUGGUUAAUACCCAUCAGGAAAGACAUCACUCACAGAAGAAGCACCGGCUAACUCCGUGCCAGCAGCCGCGGUAAUACGGAGGGUGUGAGCGUUAAUCGGAAUUACUGGGCGUAAAGCGCGCGUAGGUGGCUUGAUAAGCCGGUUGUGAAAGCCCCGGGCUCAACCUGGGAACGGCAUCCGGAACUGUCAAGCUAGAGUGCAGGAGAGGAAGGUAGAAUUCCCGGUGUAGCGGUGAAAUGCGUAGAGAUCGGGAGGAAUACCAGUGGCGAAGGCGGCCUUCUGGACUGACACUGACACUGAGGUGCGAAAGCGUGGGUAGCAAACAGGAUUAGAUACCCCGGUAGUC
rnacentral:rRNA from 1 species